UUUAACGGCCGCGGUACCCUAACCGUGCGAAGGUAGCAUAAUCACUUGUUCUUUAAAUAGGGACUAGUAUCAACGGCAUCACGAGGGUUACACUGUCUCCUUUCUCCAAUCAGUGAAACUGAUCUCCCCGUGAAGAAGCGGGGAUAAAACUAUUAGACGAGAAGACCCCAUGGAGCUUUAAGCUCAACAACAACUCUUAUGAAAAUAAUUCCCCAUAGUAUACGAGCCCUGUUUGUUAGCUUUAGGUUGGGGUGACCGCGGAGUAUAAUUCAACCUCCACGGCGAAAGGGUAUAAAACCCUAAUCCAAGAGCCACUGCUCUAAGAAUCUUUAAAUUGACGUACAAUGAUCCGAUUUUCGAUCAACGAACCAAGUUACCCUGGGGAUAACAGCGCAAUCCAUUUCUAGAGCCCCUAUCGACAAAUGGGUUUACGACCUCGAUGUUGGAUCAGGGU
rnacentral:rRNA from 1 species